UCUAUGACUGUCUGACUCUCUUUGGAUGUUUCGGGGUGCUACCAACUUGUAGAGUGUUAGUGCUCUGCUGCCUGUUCCAGGUGCAUUCUGGUUCUGUGUUACGUUUUUCAUAUCAACAGUAGUUUAACAAGCUAAUAGUAUACUUGAAUAGGAAAACUUCCAGAAUAGAGAAACCAUAUGUGUAAACAAAAGCUCUCCACCUCUGUAGCUACCAACAUAAUACCUGGUGAUGAUAAAGUCUACAGAUGAUCUCAUGUUAAGUUGCAAGCCUGUGUUAGCCUAGAUAGGUCAUGGGUAGGGCUUAGAAAUAUUACAGCUGACUUCAUCAGCUGCAACAUCAGUGGAACUGGUACUCGGUGAUCUUUAUUCACUGCUGCUUAGAUUUAACUCAGUGAACAAUGAACAUGGCCAUUCAUGUUCUCCACAGCGAAGACAGUUACUCAGAAUGAAGCUGAGAACCACUUGUAAGCAUCAGAUUACUGACCCUGUUUGCGUGAGCAUGGCACUACACAGGCAAAAAAUUAAAUUCACUAGUAACUUUGAGGACAUCCAGGUAAGACUGCCAAAGCUUUCAACUCACAUCUGACUUAAGGUACCAUGAUAAAUUUCAGCCUCAGGCUCAGUAUUUAGCAAUUGUCACAGGGCAGACUCAAGAGAGAACUGAGCCGCUGAAUCCACAUACACAAAGGAUAUGAAAGAAUAUUCCAGGGGAUAUCAAAAGCAGAUCAGAGUAGAAACCAUCCACAUUAUUACACGUGACGGGUCCACAGGACUGCAGUAAUGGCAGCUGCACAACAGCAGGGGGGAGAUACUGCAUGAACUAAUUUCAAGUGAAAGCAGAGUAAAACAACAAUAAACAAAAGAUUAAGAAGUGGCCA
rnacentral:lncRNA from 1 species